CACACAUUAAUGCAUAAACAAUCACAUGUGGCGGUGUGAUAACGACGUUCGACAGAGGAACUCAUGUCACAUUAAUAUGUCUGAUGCAACCCGUUCUCUCUGUUGGAAACCUACGAAGAAAAUACUGUCGCCAACACAUUUGUCAUGACGAAAGAGAUUGUUUCAGAUUUCUUCGUCCUCACAAGGAUUGACUGUCUUAGACACUCUGGCACAUUUGUAAAUAUAUUGAUGAAAACAAUGUUCGAUGGAUCAUGUCUUAGAUACAAUCCGUUCUGAAAAUUUUUUAAUAUUGCUAAGAAAAGUUAUUGAUGUUAGAAAAAAAAAUGUCAUUCUGGAACAUUGUUAGGCACACAUGGCAUCAUUUCUUUAGUCUUCCGUGUUACUGUGUAUAAAACCUGGGACACUCGCUUUAGUCUUUAUAUCUCUCCUAACCAGCCGAUCCACCUGCACUCCGUCUACCAUGAAAGUGUUGUUCCUCCUCGUUGGUGUGCUGGCAGCCCUGAUGGCCCUGGCUGAGGUUGCCUCUGGGAUGCCCAAUCCUGUAGCCGCUCCUGAGCCUGAUCGCUACCUCUUGCCCAUCUCAUUACGAAACAAAAAACGUAAUAACAAGAGAUUCUUGGACCGCAAUUAGUACUGAAUGAUGUCACCCUCCUCCUCCUGGCCACCAUUGUCGGACAUCAACAGUAUUCAUAAUUACAUGAGCAAAAGAAAAAUGAUGUACACGAUGAGUGUUGCUCUCAAAGCUUUUAUCAUGAGCGGAGCGCGUCCUCUUGAUUUUUUUUUUUUUUUUUAUAUAGUGAGGAUGCUGCCAAUGCCUCAGUAGUCCAAUUUUAUUUUUACUUAUCAAUGUGUGGUUCUCAUGAUUUUUUUUUUUUUUAGUGACGCUAUUAACAACACCUCGGCUAUUUAUUCAGUUUCAUUUAUUGUGGUUGUUGUAGUCAUGUACAUAUUACUGUUGUGGAAAUAAGAGUUCAGUAAAUGAAUCUGUUUCAAUGA